rnacentral:rRNA from 1 species
GGCGGUAUGCUUUACACAUGCAAGUCGAACGGCAGCAUAGGUGCUUGCACCUGAUGGCGAGUGGCGAACGGGUGAGUAAUGCAUCGGAACGUGCCCAGUCGUGGGGGAUAACGCAGCGAAAGCUGUGCUAAUACCGCAUACGAUCUAUGGAUGAAAGCGGGGGACCUUCGGGCCUCGCGCGAUUGGAGCGGCCGAUGUUAGAUUAGGUAGUUGGUGAGGUAAAGGCUCACCAAGCCUACGAUCUAUAGCUGGUCUGAGAGGACGACCAGCCACACUGGAACUGAGACACGGUCCAGACUCCUACGGGAGGCAGCAGUGGGGAAUUUUGGACAAUGGGCGAAAGCCUGAUCCAGCAAUACCGCGUGCAGGAAGAAGGCCUUCGGGUUGUAAACUGCUUUUGUACGGAACGAAACGGUCUGGAUUAAUACUCUGGGCUAAUGACGGUACCGUAAGAAUAAGCACCGGCUAACUACGUGCCAGCAGCCGCGGUAAUACGUAGGGUGCAAGCGUUAAUCGGAAUUACUGGGCGUAAAGCGUGCGCAGGCGGUUUUGUAAGACAGGCGUGGAAUCCCCGGGCUCAACCUGGGAAUUGCGCUUGUGACUGCAAGGCUAGAGUACGGUAGAGGGGGGUAGAAUUCCGCGUGUAGCAGUGAAAUGCGUAGAUAUGCGGAGGAACACCGACGGCGAAGGCAGCCCUCUGGACCUGUACUGACGCUCAUGGCACGAAAGCGUGGGGAGCAAACAGGAUUAGAUACCCUGGUAGUCCACGCCCUAAACGAUGUCAACUGG